AGAGUUUGAUCCUGGCUCAGGAUGAACGCUGGCGGCGUGCCUAACACAUGCAAGUUGAGCGAUUUACUUCGGUAAAGAGCGGCGGACGGGUGAGUAACGCGUGGGUAACCUACCCUGUACACACGGAUAACAUACCGAAAGGUAUGCUAAUACGGGAUAAUAUAUUUGAGAGGCAUCUCUUGAAUAUCAAAGGUGAGCCAGUACAGGAUGGACCCGCGUCUGAUUAGCUAGUUGGUAAGGUAACGGCUUACCAAGGCGACGAUCAGUAGCCGACCUGAGAGGGUGAUCGGCCACAUUGGAACUGAGACACGGUCCAAACUCCUACGGGAGGCAGCAGUGGGGAAUAUUGCACAAUGGGCGAAAGCCUGAUGCAGCAACGCCGCGUGAGUGAUGAAGGCCUUCGGGUCGUAAAACUCUGUCCUCAAGGAAGAUAAUGACGGUACUUGAGGAGGAAGCCCCGGCUAACUACGUGCCAGCAGCCGCGGUAAUACGUAGGGGGCUAGCGUUAUCCGGAUUUACUGGGCGUAAAGGGUGCGUAGGCGGUCUUUCAAGUCAGGAGUGAAAGGCUACGGCUCAACCGUAGUAAGCUCUUGAAACUGGGAGACUUGAGUGCAGGAGAGGAGAGUGGAAUUCCUAGUGUAGCGGUGAAAUGCGUAGAUAUUAGGAGGAACACCAGUUGCGAAGGCGGCUCUCUGGACUGUAACUGACGCUGAGGCACGAAAGCGUGGGGAGCAAACAGGAUUAGAUACCCUGGUAGUCCACGCUGUAAACGAUGAGUACUAGGUGUCGGGGGUUACCCCCUUCGGUGCCGCAGCUAACGCAUUAAGUACUCCGCCUGGGAAGUACGCUCGCAAGAGUGAANGUAUAGCUCAGUUGGUUAGAGCGCCAGAUUGUGGCUCUGGAGGUCGUGAGUUCGACUCUCAUUAUCCACCCCAACUUAUAUGGUCUAUUAGCUCAGUCGGUAGAGCACCUGACUUUUAAUCAGGGUGUCCCGCGUUCGAGUCGCGGAUAGAUCACCAAAAAGGCGGCGACAUAGCCAAGUGGUAAGGCAGUGGACUGCAACUCCUUGAUCCCCAGUUCGAAUCUGGGUGUCGCCUCCAAUAAAAUGCGCUCAUAGCUCAACUGGAUAGAGUGUCUGACUACGAAUCAGAAGGUUAGGGGUUCGAGUCCCUUUGGGCGCACCAUAUGAAUAGCGAGGGAUUAUAGCUCAGCUGGGAGAGCACCUGCCUUACAAGCAGGGGGUCACAGGUUCGAGCCCUGUUAAUCCCACCAGUGCAAACCUCUAGUAAAACUACUAGAGGUUUUAUUUUUGAUUGAAAAAAUUUUUAUAUUUAGGAGGUAAAAAAUUUGUAUAUAGUAAUAGGAAAUGAAAUAGUUGAUAGUGAAGAACUUAAAAUAAUUAUAGAUAAAAAUAGUGAAUUUAAAGUUGAAAAAGAUUUAAGUAAAAGCACAAAAAGAGAAGAUGUAAUAGCAUAUCAGUUAAGUAUAGAUUUAAAUUACCUAGAUUCUCUUAUAAAUGAGCAAUGUAAUUUAGCCAGUCUAUCUGAUGAAGAGAAAUUUGAUGAAUAUAUGACUUUGUCUGAUGAACUUGCACUGGAUUUAGAAGAGUUAAUGCCAAAAUAUACAAUAAUAAAUGCUAGAGCAUAUAAAUUAGACGAGGUAUAUGGAAUUGUAAAAAUAAUACUAGCUGUAGCGUAUGCAGAUUUAGGGCACUUAAAACUUUCUGAUGUAGUAAAGAGGCUAUCUAGACAAGUAGAUUAGGAUAUGAAUAUGAACUAUAUUAAAAAAAUGUAUAAAAUCUUACGUAAAGAUGAAAAUAAUUAUGUAAACAUAGAAAAAAACAGUAUAAAAUCAAGUCAAUUGUAGAAAUUUUCACAUAAAUUCAUCUGAAAUUCUAUAAAAAAUGCCUUAAUUUUAAUGAGGUAAAUCGAGUUUACACAGUCUAAAAAUUACUUAUAUUUAUAAAUUUAUCUUAUUAAUUAAGGAACUUUCUUAAACAUCUUCAAAAAUAAAGUAUUUUAGUCUAUAAUCUUUAAUAUUACACAAACAAUAAAGGAGAAGAAUAGAGUAUGCUUAAAAAGUUUAAUAAAAUACUAGUGGCUAAUAGAGGCGAAAUAGCUAUAAGAAUAUUUAGAGCCUGUUCAGAAUUGGGGAUAAAAAGUGUUGGUAUAUACAGUAAGGAAGAUAAGUAUGGAUUGUUUAGAACAAAAGCGGAUGAAUCAUAUUUGAUAGGAGAAGGUAAAGGGCCAAUAGAUGCAUAUUUAGAUAUGGAUGGAAUAAUAGACCUAGCAAAGAGAAAAAAAGUUGAUGCUAUACAUCCAGGAUAUGGUUUUCUAGCGGAGAAUGCAGAAUUUGCUCGUAAAUGUGAAGAGAAUGGAAUUACUUUUAUAGGACCAUCAUCUAAGGUAAUGAAUAUGAUGGGGGAUAAGAUUAACUCUAAAAAAAUCGCAAAAGAAGUUAAUGUUCAAACUAUACCAGGAGUAGAAAAAGCAAUAAGAAGUACUGAAGAAGCAAAGGAAGUUGCAAACAAAAUAGGAUAUCCUGUUAUGAUAAAAGCAUCUAAUGGCGGUGGCGGUAGAGGUAUGAGAAUUGUACAUCGCGAAGAAGACUUAGAGCUUGAAUAUGAAACUGCUUGUAGUGAAUCAAGAAAAGCUUUUGGAGAAGAUAUUAUAUUUAUAGAAAAAUAUAUAGCUGAUCCAAAACAUAUAGAAGUUCAAAUAUUAGGUGAUAAUUAUGGAAAUAUAGUUCACUUAUAUGAAAGAGAUUGUUCAGUUCAAAGAAGACAUCAAAAAAUAAUAGAAUAUGCACCAGCUUUUUCGUUAGAUGAUAAAGUAAGAAAAGAGAUAUGUGAAGAUGCAGUUAAGUUAUCAAAACAUGUGGGUUAUUCUAAUGCGGGAACAUUAGAAUUUUUAGUAGAUGCAAAUGGUGGGCAUUAUUUUAUAGAGAUGAACACAAGAGUACAGGUUGAACAUACUGUAACAGAGAUGGUUACAGGAAUAGAUAUAGUUCAAAGUCAAAUACUAAUAGCCCAAGGUUACAGCUUAGAUAGUGAAGAAAUUAAUAUAAAAUCACAAGAUGAUGUGGAAAUAAGAGGUUACUCUAUCCAAUGUAGAAUAACUACAGAAGACCCUAAGAAUAAAUUCAUGCCUGAUACAGGUAAAAUUCAAGUUUAUAGAACUGGUUCAGGAUUUGGUAUAAGACUAGAUGGAGGAAAUGGAUUUACAGGGGCAAACAUAAGUCCU
rnacentral:rRNA from 1 species